rnacentral:rRNA from 1 species
UACGUAGGGUGCAAGCGUUAAUCGGAAUUACUGGGCGUAAAGCGUGCGCAGGCGGCUUUGCAAGACAGAUGUGAAAUCCCCGGGCUUAACCUGGGAACUGCAUUUGUGACUGCAAGGCUGGAGUGCGGCAGAGGGGGAUGGAAUUCCGCGUGUAGCAGUGAAAUGCGUAGAUAUGCGGAGGAACACCGAUGGCGAAGGCAAUCCCCUGGGCCUGCACUGACGCUCAUGCACGAAAGCGUGGGAGCAAACAGG